UUCAAUAUUGAAUAAAAAUAUUCGAUGAUUUCAAAAUGAGUACAAAUAUAGAAACUCAAUUCUUCAUUGUUUGCUUUGUUUUCACAUCCAACGUUUUAGCGGGUGAGUAUUACUUAAACAUGUUAUUUGUUUUACAGUAUUGCAUGGAUUUUUACAGGGCAAUUACAAGAUCGCUUUUCCUGUUUGUAUUUACAAAGUAAAGUGGUAGCCUGAGGUUGAAUACUUACUUCUGGUAAACAAUCUAUUUUUAUAUAGUUAUCCUAGACUAUAAUAGUUGUCUCAACACAUACAAUACGAUUCAGAUCAGAAAUUCACGUCUGUCAAAACGAAAUUUCUUUGACUGUGGUUACACCGUUCUUGAUAAAGUUAUUUUCCAUACUAUUUGGUUGUGUGAACUCCUCCCCGUAAACAUUGCAUGAUAUGCCACGUAUUCAAGUAAAAUGGACGUUUGUACAACAAUAGUGGCAUCUUGUUACGCUUUCGGAAUGUUUCAAUGACCAUUACUAUCUUCAUUGGUCCAGCGUCGCUUGACGUAUUUGUGACGCAAUUUGUACAUUGGGAGAUUAAUUAUUUUCCUCUUUAGAUUACAACCCAGUUGCACCAAAAGGAAUGCUCAAAGAAAAGCACAUAAUCAGGUUCUGCCUCAAUAAACCUUGCCAUAUGUUGUUGCAUCUAAACGGAAUCAAGUUCGAACCAGGCUGUAAAUACAUUUGUCCCAGGCCUUGUACAUGUUUACCUACUUCUCAACAUCCCUGUCUUUGCUGUCAAUGUACGCCAAAUCCACCACCAAAAUUUAAGCUUGACAUACCACCCACUUUACCACAUCCACCACAAAUUCCACCAGAGUUAAUGCCAGGCGUCCCUCCAUCGCAAGUAAACCUACC